UAAGAGGGACCUGAAGAAAAAGAGCC
rnacentral:piRNA from 1 species